UAAUAACCAAAUUAUUAACAAGAAAAACAUGGAAAAUGACAUGAAAAUGAUAUCAUAAUCUUAAAUUAUACAAUGAGCUAUCUUAUGAGCUAUUUUUGUCGUUAUCAUUAUAUUUGUCCAAAAAAAUUUACCUUUAGUUGUACCAGCCAUUAAAAUGAACAAGACGUGAGAGAAAACAAGGGUUCCAUGACUGUACGCUCUGUCUUGCAAUGUUAAUGAAAGUAAAAAAUAAUUUGUGUUUCUGCCCCGUGUUUCUAAUACGCUCCAAAAUGUUAUGCUUCCUUGGCUCAUGCUACAAGCUUCCACCAAUGUCUAUGAGAACUGGACGAGUAGUUUUUCAGUAAUCCUGCUGACAAACAGACAAACCAAACCAAAAACAUACAUUUCUUUUGAGGUGUUGGACUAAAUCACACCUCUUGGAUUUUUGGCUGAGAUCCACCAGACCUUCUUCCCUCAGUUUACCUCCUUCAGUAAAUCCCUUCACAUUUUGGUUAUUUAUGGGUUAUUUUUUAUAAAUUUAAUCAGCAGUAUUGAUAAAAUCCUAACGUUAAGCAUCCCUAGGAGUAAAUGCUUGAUGAAUUUUUUUUCGGGAUUCUUUUGAUAGCAAAACAAACCUAGCAAAGCCAGGAAAAUCAAAAAGAAGUAUCAUUAGAAGCCAGUAUUGAUAAUAGCCCUACUGUUGAAUGGCUUAUUCUUUAUUGUAUGAAUCCACUUUUGCUGCAGUUGGUUAAAUGAAACUCGUGGCCUGGGGGCUGACAGCUAGAUGCAUUAAAAAUCACCAUCAGUAUUUUUGUAAGUUUGUCCAAAGCUGCUGAUUUGAAUGUUGCUUUUUAUAAGUGAGUAAAGAGCAUGUGUGUGUUUUAAUAUGCAGUUGAUGCCUCAGCCAAUAGAGUAAAAAUGAUUUAAUAAGGUAGUCGGUGUAGGUUAUAUAGCAGAGAUGAGAUGGAGUUGCAUAAUAGGAAAUAAGGUUGUGUAUUAUAUUGAUUCGAAGUAAGAGAGAAGUUUGUGUUUGCAUUUAUUUGGCUUCAGGAUUUAUGAGAAGGUGGGAUAAGUUAUUAAGCAGUUCUGUGUGUGUCUUUAGGGCAUUAUUGUUCAGGCAAGAUGCAGAAUUUCCAGUAUUGUGUAUUGAUAGUUUGUGAAAUAUAUUAAGCUGAACAAACUUAUGAUUAUAUUUAUAAGAGAAUUAAACCGAACUGAGCUGUGAUGCUAUACCAUACAACGUAGAAGUAUCUUUGCAGGGAAUGAUGGGGGAUCAAAGAAACACCAAUGAGGGUGAUUUCAGUCAGAGAAGGUGAUUUCAUGCUGUGUGCUUUUUAUAUUCUUCAUAGAUCAUCUUGUUGGGAUUACUGUUGUGGACACAAACACAGAUAAAAUCCCCAUUAAUGCCCCCUGCUUUACAUUCUGAUGAGAUUAUAUAUAUUCAGUGUUGGAGAUAUUGAUAAAGAGACGUUUGUUGCCUAGAAGUGAUGUUUACAUUCAUGCUGCUCACUUGAGAUAAUCACGAUUAUCAUGUUUAAUUACGGACUUCAGUUGUUGUGACAUUUUUACAAGCUUGUACACGUUUUGUGUUUCUUUGGGAAAAACUGAGGCGGAUGAUCUGAGCAGAAAACAAAUUUCACUUAUUCUCGAUGAAGGCAGCUCAUCUGCAUAUAAAUGAAGGUGCCGUGUGUGUUGUGUCCCAAUAUCUUUACAACCCAAGUUUAUCAUAACCGUAAUUCAACUGAGCUCAUUGGUGCGGCUAGUUUGGGCUUUGUUUUGAUAAAAAGAAAAUGAUGAUGGGUUCCCAUAAACGCAAUUAAAGGGAAGCGGAAUGAGCAGAGUUCCCUAUAAUGAGUAGGUAGAAUGUAAUAUAUUUUUUCUAUAUUCAUUUCGUAAUAUUUAUUCACAGGCAGAAGAUGACUACUACUGAAAUGAAAAUCUACCAUAAAUGUUAACUAGUUAUUUAUUUUAUGAAAAAUAAGCAAAUCAGGCUUGAAUUGCAGCGUAUCCCAGUGAGUGGUGUGAUAUCACGGUGUCAUUAACAUCAGUGGUGGAAGAAGUAUUCAGAUCCCGUACUUAAGUAAAAGUGCUAAUACAACACUAUGAAAUUACUCCACUACAAGUAAAAGUCCUGCAUUCAAAACUUACUUAAGUAAAAGUACAAAAGUAUCAGCAUCAAAGUGUACUUAAAGUACCAAAAGUAAAAGUACUUGUUGUGCCGAAUGGACCCACUCAGAUUGUUUUAUAUAUUCUAAAUAUAUUAUUACAUUAUUUGUGUUGAUAAUUUUAUGUAAGCAGGGUUUUAAUUUUGUAAAGAUAUGGCUCAUUUAAGUACUUAAUAUACUGUUAUAAGAUUUAAUAAAAUAAAAAAAGUCUAAUCACCUUAAAUUGAUCAUAUGUUUUAUGUUGAAUCUUGACCUGAAAAGUAACUAAAGCUGUCAGCUAAAUGUAGUGGAGUAAAAAGUACAAUAUUUGCCUCAAAAUGUAGUGAAGCAGAAGUAUACAUUUACAGAAAAUAGAAACACUCAAGUAAAGUACAAGUACCUCAAAAUUGUACUUUAGUACAGUACUUGAGUAAAUGUACUUAGUUACUUUCCACCACUGGUUAACAUAAGCUCCUCCACUCAGUGCCAACUUUUCUCAUCUUUUUAUUUCAAGUGCUACUGCAUUUCUUAGCUAGGGAUGGAUAAACACUACACCAGUUGAUUCAACUGAGUUAUAUCUACAUGGAAAAAAAGAAAAAUUCAAUUUUUUUUUCAUAAGCUGUUUACCAGUCCCAGCCUCUUGUUAAUGUGACAACGCUGGCUUAAAUUCAUCAUUUUCGAAAGGAAGUCUUGUAGUGUUUAUCCAUCCUCAGGGACAUUUGAUAGUUAGCAAAUUACUUUUUUAAAGCUUUCUUGUUUCAUUUUUUCUUUUUUUUUCUUUCCCUCUGAUGUUCAGAACUGUAGAAUGUAAUUUGAUGCUUUAUAUUGAUGUGAUAAUGGAAGAUGGUUUUAUAUUUGGAUAUUGGAUUCUCUGUUUAAUAUUUUCACUCAGCUUUGUGAAACGUGAGAAUACACUGUAUAGCUGUUUGGAAAAUACAGUAUGUUUAUAAGUGGCUUUUUAGUGGGGGUUGUUGGCGGGUUAGGUCGGGGGGUUGUAGACGUCUACAGGCAGAUUUUAUGUUCCAUCACUGUUUUUGCCCACAAAUUAGCUUUAGAGUAACCUUAGCCAUUACGACACAAGAUAAGAUAUUUUGUGAGAGGUUUGAUAACAAAAUGAAUGACUUUUAGAUCGUGCUGGGACCCAAACUGGAUUCCACAUUGUUUUGUUUCUGACACUGGGGCCUUGUGCACAGGCUUUUUACAGGCUCCCAACAGACCUGGCAGCGAGAAAGAGAGCAGUUCUAGCCAAACAGAGUUCUUCUCAUCUCCCAAUUAAUGAAUCGUUAUCUCCUCGAUCCAAAUUGGCCCGGAGCGAUGUCUGUGAAGGCACCUCAUGGGCCGAUCUGUGGCCACAGGGAACAGUAAAGAGAACGGACGCUUCCUGUGCUUUUAAUAUAACUACACAGUGUUUUUGUUUAUCAGAGGACACAAGGAAUGAGGAUUAGAGAGCUUUUUGCACUAGAUUUGUUUUGUUGUUUUCAGUUGUUUGAGCACAUUAAACAUCAUAUAAAUAAAUCCACUUAUAGAGAAUUGUAUCCCAAAUCGGACACAUCUGCAAUGCCGCACUUUCUGAUGUUUUCACGGUCAUUUCGAAUAAGAUCACCACCACCAGUGUAGGUAUAAUUAAUUUAUACAUUUUUAUGAAAUCUACAUGUGAAAUUUAAUUUAUGAAUAUGGACAUUUACAUGUCUAAUUACUAUACGAAAGUAAAUCUGAUGAGAGAAAGCAGUCAGAAUGCGUGGGUGAUACUAUCUUAAAAGUACAUCUGUAUUUUUACUGUUCUGUAUUUUAUUGUACGGUCAUAAUGUAAAUGCAGUCUGGGUGUGUUGAUAACGGUUGAUAAUGGUGACAUUUAUUUGGCUUACCUAGAAACGUCCAAUUUCCCCCCAAAAACUCAGCCCCAUUGUUUAAUUGUUUUACAGCGAGGAGAUCCAAGUGUCUGAUGUGGGAUAUACUGUAGUUAGCACACGGCUAAUUCGCCGGUGUUAGUGUUCUUUUGCCCACUCUGGUAAACCAGAGGCUAACGUACACGGUUUAAACAAUAUACAGUUCGAAAGAUAAGAAGUUAGACUUUAGUUUCACACCCUUAAAUAAUUGGAAGCAUAACAUGUUCAUUCAUAUUAGUAGUUAAUGUGAAAUUUUGAUAGACUCUUAGCCGAACGAUGUCCGAUUUGGGAUACAGUUACGUUAUUUAUUUUAAAGCUGGGGUAGGCAGUUUUCUGAAAAUCUAAAAUUUGAAAAUAGCUCUCCCCUCUCUGUCCUAAGCCACUCCCACUAGAAACAGGCAUAUACACACCGCUUCAUACAGUAACCUGUACGAGUUGUAGUCAUUAAUUCCAAUCAUCCCGAUCAUGAUUGUGAUCUUGAUGCGCUUAUAUGGGUGCAAUUUGAUGAAAAUGACCGUCCUGUUUUCUUUGCAAGCUUUGAGAUGGCAUGUUGUGAUUUGAGGUUCGAGCUUGCUACAUAAACAUGAACUUGAAUUUUCCACAGCCUUUGGUUAUGGUUAGCAAAAGGUUAAACUUCUUCGACACUGACGUGUUUUUUUGCAUUUAUUGUUAGACUCUCUGUUUGAUAAGUCCAUCAACUUUUUUUGCAGGAGUUUCUGCAACAGAAUCAGGCUUUCACCCUCUGAAGGGACGAGCACAUGCAUCUGCAUUUGUAAAACAGCCAAUAGGAAAGCCCUCUCUCUGAAAUGAGCUCUGAUUGGCCAAAGUCUCCUGUCAACAGCUAGAUUUUCUAAAGCCUAAAAAACAGAACCAAGGUGCAGGUGCAACUAGGUGCAGUCUAGUUUUCUCUCAGACUACUUGAAUUAUGCGAU